rnacentral:rRNA from 1 species
AGCGUAGGCGGACAUUUAAGUCAGAGGUAAGAAAUCCCGGAGCUUAACUUCGGAACUGCCUUUGAUACUGGGUGUCUUGAGUGUGAGAGAGGUAUGUGGAACUCCGAGUGUAGAGGUGAAAUUCGUAGAUAUUCGGAAGAACACCAGUGGCGAAGGCGACAUACUGGCUCAUUACUGACGCUGAGGCUCGAAAGCGUGGGGAGCAAACA